UACGGAGGGUGCGAGCGUUAAUCGGAAUUACUGGGCGUAAAGCGCACGCAGGCGGUCUUUUAAGUGAGAUGUGAAAGCCCCGGGCUUAACAUGGGAAUAGCAUUUGAAACUGGUAGGCUAGAGUAUUGUAGGGAGGGGUAGAAUUCCAUGUGUAGCGGUGAAAUGCGUAGAGAUGUGGAGGAAUACCGAAGGCGAAGGCAGCCCCUUGGAAAUGUACUGACGCUCAUGUGCGAAAGCGUGGGGAGCAAACAGG
rnacentral:rRNA from 1 species